UCCGGUUUGUCACCGGCAGUCUCCCUAGAGUGCCCUUGCGUAGCAACUAGGGACAAGGGUUGCGCUCGUUGCGGGACUUAACCCAACAUCUCACGACACGAGCUGACGACAGCCAUGCAGCACCUGUGUUACGGCUCCCUUUCGGGCACACCCAGCUCUCGCUGGGCUUCCGUACAUGUCAAGGGUAGGUAAGGUGGGGAUGACGUAUGCGUAACAGAA
rnacentral:misc_RNA from 1 species